CUCUCCUCCAACUCGGGAUUUAAAUCUGUUGGGAAGGCAGUAUAUGGAGGAUGAGAAGUCAAGAACCGAGGCCUGCUUCUGACCCGCUCGCUGGCUGUGUGACCUGGAGAGACGCGCCCUCCUGCUUAGCUGCCUGAGUCUCACUGCAGUUGGUGGGGUAGAGGCUGUGCUGUAUGGGCUUUCUAGCUCCUUCCGUAGGUGUAUACUCUGAAUGAACAGCCAAUGACUUGUCAGCGGCCAGAGGAAGAUGUGAUGGGAGAGAGAAGGUGGUGAGCUUGGAAGAGACAGUUCCUCCUCACUCAAGCACUUCUCCUCCCUUCCCCCUCCAAGCCCACCUACUCUGGAAGCCUCCAAGAUCGGCCCAUCGGUGUUUGUCCUGAAACACACAGAAGGAUUUCUGCGCUAGAUACUGACUUUUUGGUAUUUCCUGCUGGAGCUCUGUCUGGGUGGAGUUGCCGCUGAAGUGCCAGAGUUUUCCUGUUUGUGCAGUGGAUUUUCAAAACCUUAAAUAAACUCUGUUGUGAUGUGUUCAGAAUCGUAACAACUCAACAGCUGUUUAUUGAGCACCUACUACGAGCCCGGCCCUGUUCCAGGGGCUGAGUGGAUGGUGGUGACCUCAGAAGACACCCGGUUCAGCGAGCUCUCAGUCAGGUCCAGGACACUGAUUAGUAAACAGGCACUUGCCCUCCACGUGGUGAGCUUGAGUCUCCCAAUUCCUUCUGCAUCUGCUGCGAGCGACCCUAGAGGCACAAGUCUCCUGAAGUCAGAGGCACCUACAGACGGACGGAGACAGCCUGUGGGAGGGAAGGCCCGGGACUGGGUGAAACGUUGCAUUUCCUGCUCGGAAGGAGCAGGGAGAGGUGGGGUCAGGCCGGGAAAGUGA
rnacentral:lncRNA from 1 species